UGCUGACGAGUCCCAAACAGGACGAAACAGAUGUCCA
rnacentral:hammerhead_ribozyme from 1 species